CCGCGGUCCUAGCGCCGGCUCGUUUCGUCCUCCUCCACACGCGCACAGGUGCUGCUCGGACGGGAGAUGAAGCUGGGCCCACCAACACAUAAGGAAAUCGGAGUACCGAGUUUUCCCUCAUCAUGAAACCUGAUCCAGAAUCCGGAGGGAGCAACAACACUGAGUGCGGUGGAAUCGAUACGCGGAGGAAUCAACCGGCAGCCGCACACGGUCAGCUCCGUUAUCUGUGAUGCAUUCAGGCAAUUAUGUUCAAGGUCAAGUUCUUUAUGCACAACAAUAAGGGAGCAGCAGACAACGGGGAUGAACGGGCGUCCUCUAACAACUCACACGAAGUAAAAGGAAAACACUAAAUGAGAAUAUAAGACUUGGUGAUGUGUUAUUGUGAUGCAACUCGAACUGGAACUUUUCUUUCAAAUUGCAUCAUGUGAAUUUUUUCCACUUGGUCUUUUAUAUAUUUGUUUGUUUGUUUGUGUAUUUUAUUCAGUCAAUCAAAUCAAAUACAAUACAAUAUUAUUAUAUAUAAUAUACAAAAGAGAAAGACUGAAAGGGUAUAGGUAGAAGCAAAAAAAAUGCUUAUAAAUUCCUAUCCUAAAUUGAAAUAAAUUAAAUCAGAAAAUUAAUAUAAAAUAAAGAGAAAAAAAACAAAGAAAUAAAAAACUAAAUAAAAAACUAAAUAUAUUUAUAUUUUGUUUUUUAUAUUCAACACAAUGCAGAAAACACACAACUUGGAGGAGAUGAAUUUACAAUUAAACGUAUAAGACAAUUAAUUAGAAGUCAGGAAAGGAAGAUAAUUUGACAAUUAUGGCGUGUUUGUUUUCAACUGUGUUCUUUUUCCAUUUUCUUUCCACGAUAAUGACGUCUUUCUGGCGUUGUGCUGGGGGUUUGCGGCUUCAACAAGGAAACUGAAUAAUUUGGUGCCAGAAAAAGCUGAAUAUUAAGUAAAGAAGAUCUUUUUCGAACCGUCACCAGGAAGUCUGUCCAGUGUCAAAGCGAUGGAUCUUUGUUUUUUGUUUUUUAAUAUAUGAUUUAUUUGUAGAAAUUACAAAACAAGACUUAAAGUACAAUAUACCUCACAAAUAAGGAGUGAAAGGAUAACAUAUCACACAGUCAAAUGGUGAGGAUAUACAUUACAGCCCCCCCUCCCCUCCCUUUCCCAAAACAAAUAGACAACACGGCAAUUUGAUAGACAAACAGAAAAGAAAGUUAUAAACGCAACCAAAACCCAACAUCAACAACUGGCUGUGAAAUGCUUGGAGUGACAGAUAAUAUUUUGGCCACCUUCUCUGACCUUCAACUCUCUUACAUCUAUAGAUACAUCCACUCACACACACGCAUAUCCACUUGCAUUAAUUGAGCAGUGUAAAGACUGUAAAUGAGAAAAAUAAAUAAACAAUAACUAAAAUAAACAGAAACAAAAGACAUACACACAAAAAUAAACAAUAAAUAAAAACAAACAAGGUAUUGAAAACAACUUAAACAAAAAAGAAAAAUGCUGCAUGCUGCGAAUGUGCUACCAAUUAACCUAGUUAAAACAGGGCACUGGUGCGUUGUUGGGGCGAAUUAAUCAAUGGCGGCGAUAUCUAGUUGGGUAGACCUGACGUGCUCUAAGAAGGGUUCCCAGACCUUACAGAACUUAGUGGAAGUGCCUCGUAAAGUGUACUUAAUUUUUUCUAGUGACAUGAAACGAAGGGCAUCUCUAAGCCAUUGAGAGUGGGAGGGGGGGGUGGGAGUUCUUCCAAUGUAGCAGGAUAAGACGCCUCGCUAAGAGUGACAGAAAGGCCACAAGUUCACAGAAGUAAGACGGUAGUGAGUUCCCAGAAGGUAGAACACCAAACAGGGCAACUAAUGGUGAGGGACAGAUAUUGGUAGAAGUUACGGCUGAAAGAGUGUCAAAGACACCCUUCCAGAACGGCACAAGUACAGGACAAUCCCAGAACAUGUGGCCAAGACUGGCCGGUCCUAAAUGGCACCGAUCACAGCGUGAGUCUGUACCUGGGAAUAUACGAGCCAGUUUACUCUUGGACCAAUGAACCCUGUGCACUACUUUGCACUGUAAGAUACCAUGCCGGGCACAGACAGAGGAUGACCCAUUUCAAAGCCUUCUCCCACACCUCAGGGUCUAUCUCUAUGUUAAGAUCAGCCGACCAUGCAGUACACAAGGCAUCAGAGGUUGAGGAUUGGUGCGCAAGAAGAGUGUAGUAAAUCCUUGAUAUAGUACCUUUCCGGUAAGGGUUAAUUUUAAGGAUGGUGUCUAUAAGUGUGGGAGACGGUAUGGAGGGAAAUUUGGGAAAACGGUUGCGGACAAAAUCUCUUAUCUGCAAAUACCUGAAAAAGUGGGUUGAAGGCAAGUUAUAAACCUGUGCUAACUGACCAAAAGAAGCAAAUUUACCAUCAAUGUAAAGAUGGUUAAAGGAUAAGAUUCCUUUGUCUCUCCAGAUUAAGAAAGCAUUAUCCAUAAUGGAUGGAGUGAAGAGGGGGUUAGAGUGAACAGGAGCCAGACCAGGUAUAGAUUGCAAUGUAAAUUGUUGUUUAAAUUGUGUCCAGAUUUUAAGACAGUUUUUCACAACAACACUGUCUGCGUGCACAUAUGAUGGAAUAGAUGUGGGGAAGCACAGGAGGGACAUCAGAGAUGAAGAACCACAUGUGGCCUCCUCAACCUGUAGCCAAGGUGGGGGUUGGUCAUUAGUGCAACAGCAGUGUAACAAGGCUCUAAUGUUUGUUGCCCAGUAAUAGAGUGAGAAGUUGGGGAGGGCUAGACCACCCAGCUCCUUAGAUUUUUGUAAAGUGUCUUUUUUAAUUCUAGGGGGCUUCUUGUUCCAUAAGAAUUGGGGAAUUGUGUGGUCAAGUGAGCGAAAGAAACGUUUAAAGCGAUAGAUCUUAAGUUAAGUUAAUACACAAAAAGUUGAAUCUUCUUUCGACAGCUUUGGUCCACCUGGAGUUGUUUUUUUUAACACAAGUGAAAGUGAGCAUGAGUGAGUAGGUCUGAUGAAAGACUAAAUACAUCAUGGGAAAUUUAGGAUCCAGUGAUGUCGGCGCUUAGGGACUAAAAGUUAGACGCUGUCCGGCUCUGCUCAUUUAAUUUAGACCAUCCCCCUUUUCCCCCUUUUAAAAAAAUAAAUGCGUCUCCUCUGAGUCGCCCAACUUUAUGUUAAUUAAAUAAUACGAUGCUGGAGUUCUACAUAACUUCACAUCCUCUCAUCAUAUUGCCUCAUCUACUUCUUUUUCCUAUAAAAACCGUUAAAAGUUUCAUGGAUUAAGAAGUGAAUUAUUGCUGAGGUUGAUCCAAAAAGUUUCCCCAGGGAAUCGAUAUUCGGUUUGAAUGUUGCUGCAAAUGGUUGAAUCUUUAAAUUUUUGAUGAAAAAGUAAAAGGCACAAAUGUACUCACAACAAAGAAACAAAGCAAAUGUGCAAAGCGGCAGGAGAGAAUGUAAAGUAACUCAAAUCUGGCAGUAACGGUGACAUAUGGAGCAACAUCGGACAAAAAAUACUAAUAUGCUAUGUUCUAUCUCUGAAAAAAGCCCUUUUAUAUCAAAAUUCCUUCUCUGUUGUUGCCUUUAUUUCACCGUUUAUCAGCAGGAAUCAGAAUAACAGCGAGCAACAAAACAGGCCCAUCGAUGACGAUGCAGAAACGUGGCUGCUUUUAUAUCCAACGUCAACUGUUUGCAAAGAGCCUCUUUAUUUUAAUCCCCCACGUUCAAAACACAGCGGAGUCUCAGAGCGCCCCGCCAGCUGCAGGAGGGGGAGGCGUCUCCACCGGGCCGCAGCCUCGGAGUUUAAUCUCAUUACACAUGUGAGCUGCUCGUCCAUCCCAUCCCACGCAGCAUCCAGCGAGUGUGUGUACAGAACGGGGGGGGGGGGGGGAGGUCACCGGGGUCACAGCCACAGCAGAGAUUCCAGCUCGGCCAUCGCUCACGUCAACGAUCCCUCACGGAGACUCGCGGACAGACGGAGCUCCGCGUCCACAUGUCGGCCGUGGAGACGGUUAAAUAUAGUGGGAGGGAACCUGGACGAGAAGGACGGACGGUUGUUACUCAUUUACUUACGUUCACAACAAGGUGAACAUGUCAAGAUUAUUUUCUUUUCUUUAGAACAAACGCGGCACAAAAGGGAACCACUUUAGAAAAACUCCGUUUAAAAAAAGACACGUGACGAAUGGAUUUAUCACCGGUAACACGUCAUUUAUUACUGCUUUAUGAAUACAAUGUAGGAACACGUUUUUAAUCAUAAGAUCAUGGAUAAGAAAAGACCGUUGGGUUGCCAGGUUGUAGAGAAAAAACUCAAAGAAACUCAAGACUGCAGUUAUUUAUUCAUUAAUAAACGACAACGAGUAUCCCACUUUGUAAUACGCCAACUGCAAAUGUUAUAACUCAUGAUUAAAGGUUUCUUUGAGGAGGUCAGGCUUUGUAUUAUGUGUGUGUGUGUGUGUGCGUGAUCUGCAGUCUCUCCCACACACUGUCAGCUUUUUUGUUCUGCUGGCAUUUCAGAGAACUUUGCCAAAAUGGUGAAUCCAGAAAAGUGCACAAAGACACGAAAUCCCAGCACGCAAACACACACACACACACAAAGACACACACACACACACACACACAAAGACACACACACACACACACACACACGUGCACUUUCUUGCUUCCAAACAGCCAAAAACAAAGACAAAUAGAGGUCGCAGUAUGUUUGCACACACAACUUCCAGAAAGCAGAGAAGAAAAACACACAGAGGUCUCAGUUAUCACACACACACACACACACACACCUGUAAGUCUCUGUGGAAUUCCUCUAUGAUAAUAGUGGAAACUGCCAAUCGCCUCACGGCUGUAACCAGUGAUCAUCAUCAGGUUCUCCCAUGUACAAGCUCAGUCUUGUGUGUGUGUGUGUGUUGCGUGCGAGUGUGUUACACAAACAUUGAGUGUCAUAGAGAGCGCACACACACUCACACACACACACACACAUACACACAGCUGCAGGAUUUUUUUCUGAGCUUCUGUCCUGACGUGGAGGGACUGAGCGCAGGUUUCCCAUGAUGCUUCACUGCAGACCGGCGCCGUGGUCAGCGUUACACGUCUGAAGUCACUUGGACACUAACAAUCGAUUAAAUUAUCAAAAGUCCAGAAAAACUUCUCCAACCAGUGAAGCUCAGUUUGAGUCACACACACAAAGAAUGACGAGCCGCGUCGUCUCCACUCAACCUCGACGCUAAUUAAAGGCGCCAACGCGAAUAAAUGAAAACGGACAAAUUAAGACGCAUGUCUUUUGAAUCUCUCUUUUCAGAGCAGUGGAGCGUCGAGAGAGCAUUCCUGGUGCGUGAGGAGUUUUAAAACAAGUCGAGUCUUAGAGGAAUUGUUUGGCAUUUUUGAUGAAUGAGUUUUUUUUGUAAAAGUGUAAAACUUUAUGUGCCAGAAUAUUAUUAAUAAGUGAAUCUUAGAGGGUCAAAAUAUCCUAUUAUGACCGAACUAGAAUGGGCACUCGGUAGAGCGCAUACCUUCACAUAUCACAAGAUUGGGCAUUGAAUUAAGAAUAUUUGAACAUUAUGAAAAAAAAAUUACCGUGCUAUAUGGUAAAAAUAAUAUUGUGACCUUUUCACGACCUUGACCUUGACCUUUGACCCGAUCGAUCCCAAAAUCUAAUCAAAUGAUCCCCGGAUAAUAACCAAUCAUCCCACCAAAUUUCAUGUGAUUCGGUUUAAUACUUUUUAAGUUAUGAGAGUAACACGCAUAUAAAUAAAUAAAUAAAUACACAGCGAUCAAAACAUAACCUUCCGCAUUUGUAAUGCAAAGGUAACGAAUGACGUCAGCCUCGGCUGUGCGUGGCUGUUGCACGCGGUCGCAGGCUAACAGGCUGAACUUACAGACGCUUGGUGAACAUAAGAUGGUUUGUUGAGGGAAAAAAAUCUAUUUUGAGUGUGCAAAAUAGUUUGUCUGGGAGGAACUCGACACCACGAUGUGACACACGGACUUCACGUUGUCGAUCUUUGACGCCAAACUCGUGAGUACACGCUGGAAAUAACUCAAAACGACCUUUUCGUCCUCUAUUUUCCGCCAAUAGCUAAAAGAAAGAGAAAAGUAUCACACAAAAAGAGACCCAGAAAGAGUUAUACUCAUUUCUGUAAUUCGCCGCAUCGCAUUAUUAAAUAAGUACGACUGUUCCGUCAACCAGUCGCAGAUGCGGCUUAUUUCCAAGUGGCGUCUGAAUGGAACAAAGCAUCACUUGUUGUUUUUUUCCACGAGUCAUAGCACCGGAUGGGUGGAGCUACAGGACACGCAGACCGGAAAGUACACCAACGAGACACCUGUGUGAAAGGCGUCCUGUUUCCAACCACGGCCAUCACUCACCUGAACGCCACGCCUGCUCACCUUGAGGAAAUAUUUGCAGUCCCUGUGGGCGUCUGGAGGCCCCUGAUGCUCCGGUGUCUAUGAGCAGAGACUCCUCUGCUGGUUCGGGGUCCUCGGGUUCCUCGGGCUCCCGCCCAUCUGGGAAGAACAAAGACUUCCAGACCAGAGACGCGGAACGCCGACUGCCCACCAACAGAUAAGUGGAGUCGAGCCGACUCGUCUUCACUCGCGGGAACAGGAAGUGCUUUGAUCGCAAAUGUCACACACUUUUAUUUUGAAGUAAUUGAACGUCUUAAAUAAGCUCUCAGUCCCAGCUCCUGUGAGCUGCAUGGAUUUCUGACUGAAUUAUAGCGUCUCAUUUUCAGGAAAAACUGCAAUAAGGAAUUUAUUAAUAAUUUUUACCUUUGCAUUGAAAAUGCGGAAGGUUAUGUUUUGAUAGCUGUGUAUCUAUUUAUUUGUAUGUGUGUUUGUGUGUUAUUCGCAUAACUCAAAAAGUAUUAAACCGAAUCGCAUGAAAUUUGGUGGGAUGAUUGGUUAUUAUCCGGGGACCAUUUGAUUAUAUUUUGGGAUCGAUCGGGUCAAAGGUCAAGAUCAAGGUCAUGAAAAGGUCAACAUCUUCUUUUUACCAUAGCGCGCGGUCAAGUUUUAUCCAAUUGGCAUGCAACUAAUGCCAACAUGUGGCUGCGGCGAAGGUAUGCGCUCUACCGAGUGCCCGUUCUAGUUUUACUAUGUUUACUUAGUGAAACAACUUAACUUUGACUUAAAUAAUCUUCAUCUCUGACUGCGUCUAUGUACGAGGUUCUUUAGUCGCAGUUAAGAUUGAA